UCCUUGUUGAUAGAAGUUUCUGGUUAUGGAUGCUUUGGUGUACUCACUAGGCAGACUCACCUGCUCCUUCUUGUCAUGCUUCUUUUCCUGGUGGUCAUCAGCCUUUCCUCCUACCCAGAUAUCUUCAUCUACUUUUAUUCCCCAUCCAGAAGAGUAAUGGCAGGAUUAUAAUGACUCCCCAAAUGCAGAGACUGCAAUUUUGAGUGCCUCUUACAUGGGCUUCAUAAGGAAUAAAGACACUGCAUCUUUUGUACUUUCAACAAAAAUUGUCAGUGAGCAACAAUCUACUGAUAAACCUGUGAACAGAAAUCAUGCUGAAUAAGAAUGAGAAAUGGAGAAAUAAGAUAUCUGUCCUUUGGACAAUAAAUCUGGGUAUUAAAGGGAUGACGCUUUGUUGCAUUGAGGAGUUGGCAAUAGAUUUCUCUCUUUGAUUUCAU